rnacentral:rRNA from 1 species
UUAUAAUAAAAUUAUUGUUUUAAUAUUUUAAAAGAAAUUUUAUUUUAUUAUUAUUUAGAAAAAUUAUUUUUUAUUAUAGUUUAUUAGUAAAGUGAUUGAAUUUCUUUAUUAUUUUAAAAGAAAAAUUUAUUUUUUGUACCUUGUGGAUCAGGGUUUAUUAAUUAAAAUUUUAUAAUUUAGCUUUCUCGAAUUUAUAAGAUUUAACUAAUUAAUUAUUUAAAUGUUGAAUAAUUUUUUAUAAUAAUUAGUUAGAGGUGAUACGUUUUUCGUUUAUAAAUAUAUCUAGUUUUUUAAGAAAAAAAUUCAAUUUUAUUAUUAUUUAUUAAAUUUUAUUUUUUAAUUUUUAAUUUUUAGUAUUUAAUUUUUAAAGGGAUUAGCUUUUAAAAAUACUUUUAUAAUUGUAUUAAUUUUUUAAUGUUAUGUAUAAUUUGAAUUGUUAAUCUUUAAUAAAUUAAUAUUUAGGUAUUUAAAUUAAAAAUUUUUUUGAAUUUAAUUUUUUUAUUAAAAAAAAUCAUUUAAUAUUAAUUGUUUAAUAUAAUGAUAAAAUUAGUAAUAAUAAUUUAAAUGAGUAAUUUUUUUUAAGAUUAUGAAAAGGAAUUCGGCAAAUUUAUUUUUUGCCUGUUUAUUAAAAACAUGUCUUUUUGAUAAUAAUUUAAAGUCUAGUCUGCUCAAUGAUUAAUUAAAUAGCUGCAGUAUUUUGACUGUACAAAGGUAGCAUAAUAAUUAGUUACUUAAUUAGUAGCUUGAAUGAAUGAUUGAACAAGAAAGUUUCUGUCUUUUUUUAAGAUUUUUUGAAUUUUAUUUUUAAGUUAAAAUGCUUAAUUAUAUAUAAAAGACGAGAAGACCCCAUAGAGUUUUAUUUUUUUAUAUUUUAGUAUUAUUAUUUUUAAUUAAAAAUUAGUUGGGGUGACUAGAAGAUUAAAUCAACUCUUUUAAUUUCAAUCAUUAAUUUUUGAAUAAUAAGUCUAAUUUUAUUAAAUUUAAAUUAAAUUACCUUGGGGAUAACAGCGUAAUUCUUUUUUAGAGUUCUUAUCAAAUAAAGAGAUUGCGACCUCGAUGUUGGAUUAAAAUUUAUUUUAGGCGUAGGAGUUUAAAAAUUAAGUCUGUUCGACUUUUGAAAUUUUACAUGAUCUGAGUUUAAACCGGUGUAAGCCAGGUUGGUUUCUAUCUUUAUAAAAAUUUAAUUGUUUAGUACGAAAGGACCAAUUAUUAAAUAUAUUAUUUUUAUAUUAAUAAAAUU